AGUAGAAAUUCUUGACUGGAGGCUCUACCAGAGGUUUUACUGGAGGCGCUGGAACGCAAUCUGGAGAUUUCUGGAGAUUGGCAUCACAUAUAGGGGAGAGUGGUCAUAUUGCGCCACCUUAAGGAUAUCGGCCUAUUGCGGCUGAAGUUGACCAGCUGUCAUGCUUGAUGAUAUCUCAAAUUGUACCUCAGUUAUUUUGGCAUCAAAUUACAACUCCUAAUUUGUAUCACACCCAUAAAAAUUAACAAGAGAAAAGUUUUCCGACACACCUGCAAAGGGCGCAUUUACGGACUACCCCAUCAAAAAGCGCCCAUGCCUCUCAUGUAAAAGCGCCCUAUUAAAAACAACGGUUUGCCACCUAACUAAGUAGCCUAUUUGAACGUGUCAGCCCAUUAACCAUUUAUGCUGUGAAGGCUAAGGUAAUGGUAAGGUGAGCGUUCUAAUAAUCAAAGUGUUCAAUGAAAUGUGUCCCAACCACCAGAUGCUGUUUCUCUGGGUUGAAGAAUAGGGCGCAAAUAGGGUGGGCGCAAUUACGAAUGGAACACAUUUUUCAUGAGCUUCAAAUAUGGCGAGGACAGCGAAGCCACGGUGGUGAUAAACUUCAAAACUACCAUUAAACGAGCAAUUAACAAUGAUUAUUAGUUGAAUCACUAUCUCUAAGAUAAACCAUGACACCAGCAAAGGUCGAAAUAGACUGUUUCGCGUAAGAAAAUAGAGGAAAUCACAAAAAAUGGUCUGCGAGAAAGCUGAGACACCUCACCUGCCCCCGUGGACCGGAAUAAGAGCGAGUUAUUGGUGGUGAAGUAAAUGCACACAUUCGAGCAUUCAUUCGAAUCGAAAUUUGGACAGGAGGAAGGUGUGGCGCAUUUAAGAACAUGGCGCAAUAUGACCUCUCUCCCCUACCAAAAGAAUGACGAUUGCUCUCUCUUAAAACGCAAAAUUUGUUUUCAAUUUUAUUAAGAAAGAUUAAGAAAAUUAUAGCAAUGUAAUUUUCUUUACAUUCAAGUUGUAAAAUAAUCAGUCAAAUGUCCUUUGUUUACAUUCGUGAUUGUCACAUGUGCGCCAUAAUUGUAGACCAGAGCCUCCAGAGAAAUUUGGACCUCUCAACUCUCUGGAGGCUACUGGAGGUUUCUGGAGCUUUGGCGAGAGCUUUCUGGAGCUUUCUGGAGGCGCUGGAACGCUCUCUGGAGGAUUCUAGAGCUUUCUGGAGCUUUCUGGAGGUUUCUGGAGGCGCUGGAACAGGCCCAUCUUGUUUCUUUUAUUCAAUAUUUAAUCGAAAUUUUUGAAGAUAUCUAUGCUGAUUAAAAGGACUACAUUUCACAGUCAUCUUUGGUAGUUAUUUAUUAUCACCGCGCCCCUUGGGAAGGGUUUGCUGAAGUUCAACAUGUUUCUAACAAGAGCCCUGCUGAAGAAACCAAAGUCAAAGGACGUGAUGGUCCUACUACAGAGCAUGAUCACCGGCCACAAGAGGACGGCCAUCCGGCAGAGGCUGGAUGAUAAAGUGGAAAAGAUAGCAUUCGACCCAUUCAUUCAAAUGGACGCGCCGUACAAGGAGUUGAAAAGGAUACGAAGUCUGGGGAAGAAGGAGUAGAUAGUCGUUCAUUGUGUUUUCAUCAUGCGCAGUAUGUUUGUAUUGUUAAAUACGGCCAGGUAUGCCGUACCCGGCCUGUGAAUAUACCGAGAUGUGAGGCUAUGUACGGACACGAGUCAUCAGCAGUACUGAACUCCCCAUGACCUUGUCAUCGAGGCCGCAAUAUAUGGUGGCUCACGUAUCGGCGAGUGUUUAUAAACGCGAUACUACCACGGUUGUUGUGUCGAUUUGGGCUAAAUGCGCAAUUCAACUCUCGAUCCGGAUAUGACGAUGCAUAGAAGACCAUGAGGUUAACACCGGGAUUAUGCAUGGCUACACAUACUCUUUGCUCUUUCUUGCUCUUUCUUUGCCCCUAAAAUUGUUCACAAGAUUCAAGGAACACAUCUAAUCAUGUGAUUUGGUUUCUAUAGAUUCUUUUAGCUAUUAUCUGACUAUUCGUUCGUCUUUCGUCCUGGAUAUUCAUUCCUUUCCUGCUGGUUUGACCUACCAGGCUGCUGCCUGUCGAUUUGCGCCCGCUGAUCCCGGUCGGACUCAGUCGCCGCUCCCCUUACAUCAGCCGCCGACCUCCGUCGGCCCGUCGCCGUGCCUGUGCACGUGCCGGGACGGCGCCUCCCGUCUGGCUCCAAUGAAAAUCGCUUGUAAACGAGGCAUGCUUCGUGCCCAGGCCCGCUCAGCCCGGCCGACGGGUACGGAGAAGGGUGCAGAGCAGCUCGGCCUCUGCGCCGCGCCGGAGGACGCUGCAGUCAGUUCCGAACGUGCCGACUGCGCCGACGGCGACGGUUUCUUGGUUGUCGUUUGCUGAAGUGAUAUUGAAGCGACACUUUGGUCCAACUUUGGUCGAGCUGGUCGAGCCGUGAACCCUGUGAUUCUGUUGGUACGGUGCGAGGUCGUAUUCGUUAUGUUUUGUCAUGGUGUCAGGGAAAAGAGGGUAGUGAUUAUUGGAUGGUAACAUCGGUCGGGUCUUGUGAGAAAUCUACUAGACUAAGCGCUACACCCUCAGCAGGAGCCUCCCUGCGGCACCGGCACCAUGGCUGCUGCUGCGGCCGCCCCGACGCCCGACCUGCCGGCCGCCGUCCGCUCGUUCGUCGAGAGCUCGCGCCAGCUGGCGGAGGCUGCUGGCGAGCAGCUGGACAGAGUUCCGGCAUCUCAGUUUCUGUCGAACAAGAUUGAAAUGCUCGGUGGGCUUAUCGAGAUGUAUCAAGGACUCUUCAACAGCUGCGGCGUCGAAUCGCGGAAGGCUUUGGAGGAGAAGGCUCGGGCCAGUGAUGACAAGGAAGCCAUGUCGGCCAUUGAUGCCCUGAUGGAUGCGGAGUCAGAGUGGGACCAGUUCAUCACUCGCCUCAGCGCGCGGCUGGGCGCCGACUCUGUGCCGGGGCCGCGGCUGCACACCGGUCUCCCGUGCGGCCGUCUGCAGCUGGCGGAGGCCCGCAGCGGGCUGCUGCGGCCGCUCUACGAGCCGGCCGGGCCGCGCCUGCUGGUGCUACUCCGACACCUUGCCUGACAGCCGUGACGUCGGCACGUCGCCGAGCUGCAGCACAGACGGGCCGAGUUGGAGCGUCUGCGCUACGCCGUGCUGGUCGUGUCGUUCUCGGACCGUGGCGCCGUGCUCCGCUGGCUCUCUGAGACGGGCUGCCCGUUCCCGGUGCUGCUGGACCCGCGGCGCCGCCUCUACACCGCCCUGGGACUGCCAACCGACCUGCAACAGGUAUGGAGUCACUCGGCCCUGCUGGAGGAGGCUGAGCGACGUCUGGAGGCUCCCGACUCUCCUCCACUGGAGGUACCGUACCGCGGCGGCCCGGCCGACCCCCACCAGCUCGGUGGCGACUUUCUGCUGGACAGCAGCGGUCGGCUGAUGCUGUCCCACCCGAGCGCCGACCCGGCCGACCGGCCGACCGUACAGCAACUUCUGGACACACUGGGACGGCACGCGGCUGGGGAUCAGUAGAUGGAGGGGGCGUCUCCCGGCGAUGAGUAGGGGGGGGGAGGGGCGUUUUCCGGCGAUCAGUAGGGGGAGAGGGGGGCGUCUUCGGUGAUCAGAAGGGGGGAGGGGGCGUCUCCCGGUGAUCAGAAGGGGGGGGGGAGGGGGCGUCUCCCGGUGAUCAGAAGGGGGGAGGGGGCGUCUCCCGGUGAUCAGAAGGGGGAGAGGGGGCGUCUCCCGGUGAUCAGUAGAGGGGGGGGGCGUCUCCCGGCGAUCAGAAAGGACAACACCGGUGACUAGUAGAGGGGGGGGGUCCCCCGGUGACCAGUAGGGAGAAGGGGCGUCCUCGUUACUCAGUAGCGGACGAUACGACCAGUAGGGGACAACAUGAGUAGGGGGGGGACGACACCGUUGACCAGUAAGGGGCCGGUGGAGAUGAAAAAAAAAAAACGUAAAUGAAUUUGCAGGACCAGUAAAAGAGACGAAGGACGACUUAGAGCAAGGGGUCGGAGAAAGAGGUGUGGGCUCAGCAGUAUAUACCGAACGCUCUGGGAUCAUGCUGUCUGUCCACGGUGACCAUACAAAUUGUUACACAACCUCUUGGUUAUCACAAACCCAAGACUAUAUUCUCUAACCCAUUUUGGGAUAAUAUAGUCUUCUUCUUGGUCCCGAAGGAUCGCUGGCCUUUGGUUCAGAUAUAUAAUUUAUGCACCCCAGUUUCUCAAUUUUUACCGUUUCACUACUGGUCGUCCCGCCGUCCCCUCUCCCCCUCCCAGCCAUCGGGGGCCUUCAGUCACCCACGCCGUCUCGAGCUGCGAGCCCGGGCGGCUCCCUUAUGACGCUCCGCGGCCAGGCCCGCCGCACGGGAGCCGCGGAGCCGAGAGACGGAGCCGGCCGGAGCCCGGAGCCGAGUCGGUCUGGGAGACGCUGGCAGCCAAAUGGGAGACGCCGGGAGACUGGGAGACGCCGGGAAGACUGUGGGAGACGCCUGGAAUAACUGAGCCAGCUGGCUGUAAAUGGUGCCGGGUCGGCUGAUCGGGAGACUACCAACGACAUUGGGUGUCGCCCAUUACUCGUCCCCUUUCGUGAUGAAAGCGAUCGAUCACGGCCAUAUCACGAUACUAACGAUUUGUAAAUAGAACGUGCUAAUGCAGCGAAAACGCUGAUUCGUUGCGCGUGUGUACGUCUUAGCUUCAAGUACCCAUAUGCGGCAGUCAUGUCUGUUCAGUAACAUGAAUGGGCGACGUUACUGAUGAUGUAUUCUUACCCUAAUACGUAAAUACAAAUUUAUCUACUACGAGCGAA